AUGGCGCUGACGACGAUGUGGUGCUUCCUUGCUCGAGUUGUUUGGCUUGGAGAUGAGGAAGAGCUUCGGGGAGCAUCUAGACACAAUGAAGCAACGAGAGGUGGGCGGUGGUAUGAGAACUACAGCGGGGUGCUCGUGGCGGCUUCGGCCAUGAGGGAGAGACGAGGAACGAGGGAGAGAGUGAGAGGGAUUGGUUCGCAGGGACCAUCAUUGGUACCACGAGUCAACACGCCAAGAUACCUCCAAACGUCUGAACGCAGACAACAUCACUCACAUGCUCCGCCAGAUCGUUCACGCCCCAAGCAGGAAGAGACCGUUCUUCACCCACUCCCAGGGGUGCCACGCCCAUGCCCACGCCCACCUCGAGCCGUUAAAGAUGUAGCCGACAAGGUUUAUCUGAACGCCCCAGAAGAUCCUAGUAGUGCACACCCAACUCCUGCUCAGGGCUCAUCUAGCACACUUGGACCUGUAUUUCAAAUCUUCGAAGAUCCUCGACACGGGCUUGUUGAUCCGCCGGGUCGACCUCCACUUCGAGCCGUUAAAAGUGUAGCCGGCAAGGCUUAUCUCGACGGCCCCGAAGAUCCCACCACACACCCAGCUCCUGAUAAUGGUUCAUGCAACGCAUCUGAACCAGUAUCUGCUGGCAUCUUCGAUGAACCUCGACAUCCAGUUCCUGAUCCAUCAGCAAGGGGGCGUAGCGCCAUGACCAACGGCGACGAGCCUGCGCAGUGCACCGAGGAGCAUCCUAAGUACCCAGUUCCCGACAGUUCAACUAACGAGGGCCCUGUUGAGGAACAUCCUGCAUGCACAACUCCUGGUUACGGUUCAUGUAGCACACCUGAGCCUGUACCUGAGAAACCUCCCUGCGGCACCUCCGAAGAUGUUAAGCAGCGGGAUGUUGAUCCACCACCUCCCGCGCGCGAAAUCGUUGGACACCCAUUUCCUGAUCCGCGAGGUAGGGGGCGUAGCGCUUUGGCCGACGAGCCAGAGCAGUGCACCCAGGAGCCUCCCAAGUACCCAGCUCUGGACAAUUCCAAGUGA
rnacentral:rRNA from 1 species